ACCAAUGAUGAUUUGUCUGCAAAAUGGAUGUGUUGUGAAACCAAGACCCUGUUUGUAGGGAGAACCUACUUGGGGAAGCAUCACUAAUAUGACAUCAACAGAUAUGUCUGAGGU